AAAGAGAAGCCCGCGGGUCGCUGAGUGAAGUGGGUUUCAGGCAGACUCCGGGAGUUUGGAGGCAUCGGCAUGGCUUGGUCAGGGACUGCCAGGCGAGGGGCGGGAAGCGGCCGGCUGUACUUGGGCUCCCAGGGCUCCCAGAAUAGGGAUGAGGCUCGAAACUUUCCAACAAAACCUACUAAGCAGAACUCAAGGAUACUGACCACGAAUACGAAGAAACCUAGCGUUUC
rnacentral:lncRNA from 1 species